GCAGUACAUGCAUGGCACAUGCAAAGUACAGAAGCAGCUCAGAGAAGGUGGCAUCCAGGUAGGGACUGCUUCAGGAAGGGGUAGCUCCUGCCCAGGGCUUCACAGUGGACAGGAGUCCCCCAGCCUGGCAGUGGGAGCACUCCAUGACACCACCCCAGAGUUCUGGAGCUCACUUUGGCACCCCCAUGAUGUAUAGCUGGCACUACAGCAAAACCUAAUUCUCUCAUUCACCCCACCCAUCUCCACCUGGGCCUCCUGGAGUCCACCUGGGGCUAACCCACCUACAUUCACAGGCUCCUGGUGCCUAGCAGUUUCCCAGAUCCAGGUAAAAAAUUUCUAAUGGAAACUACUAGAAAUCAAUCUACCCUUUCUAGGACAUGCAUAAAGCCUUGCCUGGCUGCCUAGAGAUGGUUUUAUGGGCGUCCUUAUCUGGGCUCUGCAGCAGUUGCUGGCACCAGGACAGACAGUUCCUUAGUUAAUCAUUCAAAUAGGAGGCCUAGGUUACAUUAAAAUGAUGGAUCUGUGGCUGGAAAAUACAUUCGAAAUGCCCUACAAUGCCUCAGCCUUCCCCUGCACACUCUCACCUCAGAUCCAGGCUGCUGCUUGAAGGUGGAGAUGUCAAAAGAGCUAUGGAGCACCUAUCUCCCAGCAUGCUAAGGAUGGAAGAACAGGAAGACAGCAGGACUUGGCCAGGUGGAGCUGCUGUGCCAAUCCUGGAAAGCCGGUCUCUGUACCUGUGGUUAUGUAAGCAAAUAGUCCACUCUUUGGAAAAGCCACUGUAGUCAUUUUGCUGUCACCUGGAACCAGACACAAUCCUGGGUGAUAGGAUCCAGGCUUGGAGAACUUUACCAAGUUCCUUAACCUCUCUUAAGCUUCAGCUUCCCUGUCUAUAUAAAGGGAAUAAGAUAAUAUUCGCUCCCCCUAGUACACUACCCACUAUGCACAGGCACCAUGCGGAUGUUUAGCAUGUGCCACCCGUGAAUUGAGAAAGUGACUGUUGUAUACAUCAGGCAGAGGCAGUGCAUACAACAACAACUGCUAAGGCUACCCCACAGGACUUCUGAAUCAGAUGCAACCACAUGGGCGAUUCCUGAGUCACGUAAACACUUACCACACAUGCUUACCAAAGCCCACAUUCCCUGGCGUGCUGUGCAGAGUUGAAACCAAGAGGCCCUACUCCAAAAGCAGGAAGUAAGCUCCUGCGAUUCAUGCCUUCCACCCCCUCUCAGAAGGAAGGAGCAAAUUAAAAGGGAUUUCAACACAUUGUGCCAAAUAGAGGGCAGCCAAGUGGCCACAGGUGAAACCAGGCCCUGCCAGAUGACUCCACUUGAGGCAUCCUUCAGAAGUGAGAUCCUGCUUAUCAAAGAGCUUGUGUUUUUUAAAAAAGAAAAAGCCGGGCGCAGUGGCUCACACCUGUAAUCCCAGCACUUUGGGAGGCCGAGGCGGGUGGAUCAAGAGAUCGAGACCAUCCUGGUCAACAUGGUGAAACCCUGUCUCUACUAAAAAUACAAAAAAUUAGCUGGGCAUGGUGACGCAUGCCUGUAAUCCUAGCUACUCGGGAGGCUGAGGCAGGAGAAUUGCCUGAACCCAGGAGGCAGAGGUUGUGAUGAGCCGAGAUCGUGCCAUUGCACUCCAGCCUGGGUCACAAGAGUGAAACUCCAUCUCAAAAAAAACAAAGAAAAAAGGUCUCUUGGCCCAGAGAAGACCCUGGGACAGAGAGCUCAUCCUUUGUUGGGCACUUCCCUCCACUCACACUUCAGCCCCUUGAGCCUGCACGCAGUCAGGACAUCUCCAGCACCAGCGCCCGCCACCAGAAACCCAGAGCAUCUCAUGCUAUAGGCCGCUUCUGCCAGGCUGUGCCUGACUCCGAGGGCCUGAAGUAGCUGCCUUCUAUGUUUUAGGGCCUUCUCAUGUUCAUCUCCUCGAGCUCAUAGAAGUCGUACAACAUCCAUAGUUUACAGAUCAGGGCACUGGCUCUGAGAGGUGAGGAGACUGCUCAAACCCACGUGAUCACCCUGCCUGAACUCAGGCUUGAAGUCUCCUGAUGACUCUAAAGCUUCCCAUCUGAAAGGCCAUGCUGACCCGUCCUCUGCCAGAAAUGAUUCUUGCUCUCUCUUACACUCUCGCCCUCUCGCUCUCUCUCUGGGU
ensembl:lncRNA